rnacentral:lncRNA from 1 species
UCAUUGUUUGUCACGCCCCGUGACCGCUACCGAUUUGGUUCGGCCCCGGGCGCGUCGAACAGACGCCGAACGGACAGAGUCUCCCCUGUCCGCAUAAGGCUAAGCAAACGAUCAUGUACAAGAAUUUACCCAGGAAUCAAUUCAUAAGUACACAAUCACGAGAGCACAACAAGUGCUAACAAGACGAGAGCAAGAUACAAGUAUAGAAACAUAUACAAGUACAUCAAGAGAGAAGAGCUAUCUAUUACAUUCACUUGACAUAAUACAUUCCAUUACAUCUUUUACAUUCUUCCAAAAUAUAAGUACAAUCACUCGAACCUCACCCUAUACAUCAUCUACUCUCAAAUACAAAAGGGGUGACGGC